CUAAAAUGAAAAUAAUCCCUCUCCCCAAACGGUGCGCAGUAAUGGGGACCGACUUGAAACAAGGUAAAAAUAUUUGAGCCAAAUUAAAAAGAAAUAACUGGCUCAAUAAAACAUGGCGCAAAGGGGGAGGACUUAUUGCGCAAUUCUCCCACUUAAGGUUGAUAUGCGCAGACCCCCAAACUAAACAGCACCAUCUUUGUUCCGUUUUAAGUUUUAGAAAAAAAACAAAUUCAGGGUAAUAUUUUGCCUUUCCCUUUGAAGCAAAACUGCUUCUUUCUGGGUUUCCUUAACCCUUUGGCCGCCGUUCAGCCCACGCCUCGAUUCCGACGGAGGGGACACCAGCUCGACGACUCCGGCGAAAGGUAAGUCUCCCUUUUCCCCUUUUAUUCUAUUAUUUCACAAAACAAAUAAAAAAGAACAGAGAAAAAAAAAGUAAAAAUGAAAAUAGAAUAAACGCGAUUAACCUUCAAUUUUCUUUGUAUUUCAAUCUUUUCUCUCUAUUUUUGUAUCUUUUACACUGCAUCCCCUCCCUUUUUCAGAUUUUUAAACGGCAUUUAUAGCCGAAAGAAAACAAUCGGAAUAAAAUCUAUUUCCCUCCCCAUCCUUGCUGUGUUUUCGCUAUUAUUCUGCCUUUUGCUGUGCUUGUAUGCUUCUUUUCGCGGGUUUGGUGGCUUGUUGAGGUGUGCGUACGUAUGUGGAGGCGCAACUCGCGCGGAGAGGGACCUUAGCCCCGAGUCAUACGGUGAUUGGAAUGCUGGAAGCGGCAGCCAAGGAUUUUUCUGUUUAGGGUUUCAGUAGAUAAGGUAUUUGGAAUUUUGGGCUUAAGCUUUAAUUUUGUUGGGCCUAUAUUGGUUUGGGCCUGGGCAUAUGUGGGCUUGUACAUAUAAUAUUAUAAAAAUAUUAAAAUAAAAUUAUGCUUUCUUCCCAAAAUUUAUAAUUUUAUUUUUUAAUUCGUAAUUUGAUAUACUAAAUUUUAGUCCCAUUAGGCAUUGCUAUUUCAGGUGAAAAAGUGAUUUUCAGGGUGAGUUUGGAUGGGCGGUGCGUGCGUUUAUCUACGGUUAAUAUAAAAACAGCAGUAGCGGUGAGAUUAGAUACUGUAGCGAUACUGUAGCGUGAGACAAAAAAUAAGCUAAACGCAACGCACCGCAUCCAAUCGCGUAUCCAUACUCACCCUCAAUCUCAAAAGUAACGC
rnacentral:lncRNA from 1 species